CUUCUUGUUUGAUGAGUGGAAUGGGCCAACCGAUGGGCUUAUAUGAGUAAAGUUUCAGACAAGCAAAUUCUGUAAGCUUUGCUACACCAUGUUCUGUACCACUUCAUCAGCUGAAUCUCUUGGACAGAGAAAGAAUAUGUUCCUGUACCCCUUAUAAUGUGGCCUCAGGCAGCAGAAAGUUUCAUACAUUCCAUAUGGAGCUUUAUGACUUCAGGCCUAGCCCCUCUGGAUGGGAAGACAGGUGAUCAAGGGAGAUCUGCAGCAAGUCCAGCAGCUCUCACACCAAGGAUUCUGCUGUGCUUGAUGCCUUACCCUUUCUCAGUGAUGUAAAUACAGAAUGCACCAAGAAGAACUUCAUACAG